GCCGAGGUGGCGGAAUUGGUAGACGCGCUAGCUUGAGGGGCUAGUGACCCUUUGGUUCGUGCGGGUUCGAGUCCCGCCCUCGGCACCA
rnacentral:tRNA from 1 species